AUUGAACGCUGGCGGCAGGCCUAACACAUGCAAGUCGAGCGGAUGAAGGGAGCUUGCUCCUGGAUUCAGCGGCGGACGGGUGAGUAAUGCCUAGGAAUCUGCCCGGUAGUGGGGGAUAACGUCCGGAAACGGGCGCUAAUACCGCAUACGUCCUGAGGGAGAAAGUGGGGGAUCUUCGGACCUCACGCUAUCAGAUGAGCCUAGGUCGGAUUAGCUAGUUGGUGGGGUAAAGGCCUACCAAGGCGACGAUCCGUAACUGGUCUGAGAGGAUGAUCAGUCACACUGGAACUGAGACACGGUCCAGACUCCUACGGGAGGCAGCAGUGGGGAAUAUUGGACAAUGGGCGAAAGCCUGAUCCAGCCAUGCCGCGUGUGUGAAGAAGGUCUUCGGAUUGUAAAGCACUUUAAGUUGGGAGGAAGGGCAGUAAGUUAAUACCUUGCUGUCUUGACGUUACCAACAGAAUAAGCACCGGCUAACUUCGUG
rnacentral:rRNA from 1 species